rnacentral:tRNA from 1 species
GCCUGGGUGGCUCACCGGUUGAGCAUCUGCCUUUGGCUCAGGGCAUGAUCCCGGUGUCCUGGGUUCGAGUCCCAUAUCAGGCU